UUUCUUUUUGUGUAUCUUUCUUUUGGGGAGCUUUUAUUUUGUUAAUUGUAUUUUUAUUAUGUGACCUUUGACAUUUUGGCCGUGUCACUUCCUGUCGAUUCGCGUCAUUCUUGGUCGUUCUCCACAGUCAGCGUCAGGCGGCGCUGAGGAGAGGUAAUACAGAGGGAAUACCCCUGAUGUCAAUAUCGUGCGAAAACGUGGUAAAAGAACUAAAAACAGACAUGAAUUUCAUCGUGAACAGGUGAGCACGUGGAAACCUGGUCAUGAGAAGAUGCUGUACUGAUUUUAGUGGUUCACACACAGCUCCUCUUCUGUCAGCCACCCCUGUGCCCUAAAACUGUCCUAAAUGACUUAAUCUACAGGGCGACAGGCCUCUAGAGAGGCUGACUCUCCAACCGUGACCUUCUAUGACUUAAGAGUUUGCAUAAAUGAACUGGCUCAUAUGACGCGAUUAGACAGAGGGAGAUGCAGCGAGACAAGGCAGAGCUCCAUCAUCAUUAUUCCACCGCAUCCCCCGAGGAGCGAGACAGAGCCGAGGCCGGGGCCGGGGCCGGACCAGGCUGGGGGAGAAAACACUGUAGAACCACAGCGCCAGGACCUGGGAAUGCACACAAGUGAUAUUUGUGCGCUGAGAUCAAAAAGCGUUUACCUUUAGAUGUUUCCCUGAUAUGAAUAUUCAACAUCCUUAUUGAAAUCUAAUUUGGGUCCCCUUGUCUCAGGGGUCUUUUCAUCAGUGCCUGUUGCCUGAGGCCAGUACUGAUUGACAGCCAAACUUUAGAAAAGAGCAAGCAGGAAAAAAGGGGAGAUCUGGUGGUGUUGGAGAUGUGAGCGGUGUGAAGCUGGGGAGAGCUGGAACAGAUGAGCGGAGGGGUACUGAGAGGGAUGGGGGUGGGGGGCCCCGAACAGAAUGCAUGCACAAACAUAAUGCUGCAGAUUAUUUGGAACUAUGAGUGAAUGUACUAAAGCAGCAGUAUUUAACAACAUUUCAUCAUUUCCUGUCUAAAACGCUUUCAUCUCCCUCUAACCUUGAUGUGAACAUACACUUAUUGUUUUGUUUGUAGAGGAGGAUCAGUUGGUGUUUCUCAUUUGCAAAAAUGAGGAAAGAUCUGUAUAAAGCUGGAAUGAUUAGUCGAUUAGUCAGUCGCUAGAAAAUUAAUCGGCAACUAUUUUAGUAAUCACUUAACAGUUUUAAUCAUUUUUCAAGCAGAAACUGCCAAAUAUUGUCUGAUUAUGGCUUCUCCAAUCUGAGGAUUUUCUCUUUUUAACUUAUUUAUUUCUAAUUUAAAGAUGCUGCCUUUGACUCCAGCAAACUCAAUGGACAUUUUUGACUAUUUCCUCAUAUUUUGUACACUAGGCGAUGAAUCAAUUAAUUGAAAAAACCAACAGAUUGUAAUGAAAAUCAUCAUCAAUUGCACCACUAGAUCUGCAUGUAGCAACUGAAUUUGUUUUCAUUGUUUUUUGUAACAAACAACUAUUCAUUCCUGAACUGAUAUUUCACCUGAUCUAUCCUCAUUGCAAAGUUUACACUUUAUGCAUAACCAGUCAUAGUGGAUUCAAAAUCAGAGCCAGGGAUGAAGUGUUGUAUUCAGUUUUGCAUGUAUCUCCAUGUCACAUGAUCCACUAAGAAUCUGAGCUGAAUCUGUCAGUCAAUUAAUCAAUUAGUUGAUCAACGGAAAAUUUAUCUGCAACUGUUUUGACUAUUUUUAAGCAAAGCUGAUGAACAUUUCGUGGCUCCAGCUGCUCAGUUUUGAAGAAGUGCCACUUUUCUUUGUCGUAUGUGAAGUAGGAGAAGUAAAUUGACUAUAUUUGGGCUGUGGUUGGACCAAUUUGAGUGUCACUAUUUUCUCACAUUCAACUAAAUUAUUAAUCAAGCAAAUAAUGAGCAGAUUGAGCAAUAACAAUUUUCAGUUGCAGCCCCAGCAAAAAUAUUUCAGUGGAAUAACAUAAUUGUUCGACUGGUAUGUUUACCGAGACCACAGAUAAUAUAGAAGAGUUCACAUUUAACAAAAAUACUUGAAAUGGUUAUGGAUGAAUUGGAAAGAUUUGCCAUAUGAGAGUAUUUCAUUUGUUCUCUUCUUGUCUUAAAACAAAGCAUCUGACGCUCACUGCCAAAGGCACAGCACCAUAUUGUUUUCUAAAAUUAUAUUUCUAAACAUUU